rnacentral:rRNA from 1 species
CACGUAGGCACCAAGCGUUGUCCGGAUUUAUUGGGCGUAAAGAGCUCGUAGGCGGUUCGGUAAGUCGGGUGUGAAAACUCUGGGCUCAACCCAGAGCCGCCACCCGAUACUGCCGUGACUAGAGUGCGGUAGGGGAGCGGGGAAUUCCUGGUGUAGCGGUGAAAUGCGCAGAUAUCAGGAGGAACACCGGUGGCGAAGGCGCCGCUCUGGGCCGUAACUGACGCUGAGGAGCGAAAGCGUGGGGAGCAAA